rnacentral:rRNA from 1 species
GUAGUCUCGCACCGAUGCAUAUCAAUAAGCGGAGGAAAAGAAACUAACAAGGAUUCCCUUAGUAACGGCGAGUGAAGCGGGAAGAGCUCAAAUUUGAAAUCUUGAAAGGUCACCUUUCACGAAUUGUAGUUUAAAGAAGUGUUUUCUGUUACGAUCGUAAUAUAAGUUCUUUGGAAUAGGACAUCACAGAGGGUGAGAAUCCCGUCUAUGAUUGCGAUUUGUAGCUUUGUGAUACACUUUCAAAGAGUCGGGUUGUUUGGGAAUGCAGCCCAAAACGGGAGGUAAAUUUCUUCUAAGGCUAAAUAUUGGCGAGAGACCGAUAGCGAACAAGUACCGUGAGGGAAAGAUGAAAAGAACUUUGAAAAGAGAGUUAAAUAGUACGUGAAAUUGUCAAAAGGGAAGCGUUUAACACCAGUGUUGUUUUCUGAAAAUCAACCUCUGUUAGCUUUAUGCAUGUUUGUUUAGACCUAAUCAGCUAUCCUUGCAUGUUCUAUUGUUUGCAGUGGUGCACUUUUCAGUUUACAGGUCAACAUCAGUUUUUUUUACCGUAAAAAAGUUAAAGAAAGGUAGCUCAUGGCUCCGGUCGUGAGUGUUAUAGUCUUUUUCCUAUGCGGUAGGAGAGACUGAGGUCUGCAGUGUAGGCUAUUUGGCUAGAUACUCAGGUGCUAUGUGAUACCAUUUCAUAAACAACUUGUUGAUUAUGUUUUGUCUAUUGCAUACUCGCUUGUACUAUCAUACCUACGCUUAGGAUGUUGAAGAUGUAGCACAUCAU